rnacentral:rRNA from 1 species
GGGUAGUUUGACUGGGGCGGUCUCCUCCCAAAGAGUAACGGAGGAGCACGAAGGUUAGCUAAUCCUGGUCGGACAUCAGGAGGUUAGUGCAAUGGCAUAAGCUAGCUUGACUGCGAGCGUGACGGCGCGAGCAGGUGCGAAAGCAGGUCAUAGUGAUCCGGUGGUUCUGAAUGGAAGGGCCAUCGCUCAACGGAUAAAAGGUACUCCGGGGAUAACAGGCUGAUACCGCCCAAGAGUUCAUAUCGACGGCGGUGUUUGGCACCUCGAUGUCGGCUCAUCACAUCCUGGGGCUGAAGUAGGUCCCAAGGGUAUGGCUGUUCGCCAUUUAAAGUGGUACGCGAGCUGGGUUUAGAACGUCGUGAGACAGUUCGGUCCCUAUCUGCCGUGGGCGCUGGAGAAUUGAGGGGGGCUGCUCCUAGUACGAGAGGACCGGAGUGGACGCAUCACUGGUGUUCGGGUUGUCAUGCCAAUGGCACUGCCCGGUAGCUAAAUGCGGAAGAGAUAAGUGCUGAAAG